rnacentral:rRNA from 1 species
AGAGUUUGAUCCUGGCUCAGAUUGAACGCUGGCGGCAGGCCUAACACAUGCAAGUCGAGCGGAUGAAGAGAGCUUGCUCUCUGAUUCAGCGGCGGACGGGUGAGUAAUGCCUAGGAAUCUGCCUGGUAGUGGGGGAUAACGUUCGGAAACGGACGCUAAUACCGCAUACGUCCUACGGGAGAAAGCAGGGGACCUUCGGGCCUUGCGCUAUCAGAUGAGCCUAGGUCGGAUUAGCUAGUUGGUGAGGUAAUGGCUCACCAAGGCGACGAUCCGUAACUGGUCUGAGAGGAUGAUCAGUCACACUGGAACUGAGACACGGUCCAGACUCCUACGGGAGGCAGCAGUGGGGAAUAUUGGACAAUGGGCGAAAGCCUGAUCCAGCCAUGCCGCGUGUGUGAAGAAGGUCUUCGGAUUGUAAAGCACUUUAAGUUGGGAGGAAGGGUACUUACCUAAUCC